GCGGACGGGUGAGUAAUGCCUAGGAAUCUGCCUGGUAGUGGGGGACAACGUUCCGAAAGGAGCGCUAAUACCGCAUACGUCCUACGGGAGAAAGUGGGGGAUCUUCGGACCUCACGCUAUCAGAUGAGCCUAGGUCGGAUUAGCUAGUUGGUGAGGUAAAGGCUCACCAAGGCGACGAUCCGUAACUGGUCUGAGAGGAUGAUCAGUCACACUGGAACUGAGACACGGUCCAGACUCCUACGGGAGGCAGCAGUGGGGAAUAUUGGACAAUGGGCGAAAGCCUGAUCCAGCCAUGCCGCGUGUGUGAAGAAGGUCUUCGGAUUGUAAAGCACUUUAAGUUGGGAGGAAGGGCAGUAAGUUAAUACCUUGCUGUUUUGACGUUACCGACAGAAUAAGCACCGGCUAACUCUGUGCCAGCAGCCGCGGUAAUACAGAGGGUGCAAGCGUUAAUCGGAAUUACUGGGCGUAAAGCGCGCGUAGGUGGUUCGUUAAGUUGGAUGUGAAAGCCCCGGGCUCAACCUGGGAACUGCAUCCAAAACUGGCGAGCUAGAGUAUGGUAGAGGGUGGUGGAAUUUCCUGUGUAGCGGUGAAAUGCGUAGAUAUAGGAAGGAACACCAGUGGCGAAGGCGACCACCUGGACUGAUACUGACANCUGAGGUGC
rnacentral:rRNA from 1 species